rnacentral:misc_RNA from 1 species
GAUGAAGAACGCAGCGAAAUGCGAUACGUAAUGUGAAUUGCAGAUUUUAGUGAAUCAUCGAAUCUUUGAACGCACAUUGCGCCCGCCAGUAUUCUGGCGGGCAUGCCUGUUCGAGCGUCAUUUCAACCAUCAAGCCUUCGCUUGUGUUGGGGCCCCGCGGCUGCCGCGGCCCCCUAAAUCCAGUGGCGGGCUCGUCGUCGUACCGAGCGCAGUAGACAUCCUCGCUCCGGGAACCCGACGGGUGCCGGCCGUGAAACCCCCCCCAACAAGGUUGACCUCGGAUCAGGUAGGAAUACCCGCUGAACUUAAGCAUAUCAAUAAGCGGAGGA